AUGUUGUCGUCUGCCACGCGUUUGAUAGCCGGCAUCUCCGUCCGUGCGUGCGUAUGUGACGCGCCCUUAUGCGUCUCCUCUCGCGAAUCUCGUCAACGAUUUCCGGUGAUACGCGUUUUCGCUUCAGCCGAACAAUUUUUACGUUCUGACUUCUAUCCUUUUUCUUCCGAACUUGUCGCGAACUGAGUUGAAUUAUUUCAUAAUAAUGCAUGAUGUCCGAACGGUUGGUUAACGCUCCGAUAUCGUUUCAUUAAUUUGCAAGUGAAUCUAACGUGAAUGAGGUGAACUAUUCGCGACAGUGUCUAAUGGAGACAGCGAAGACCUCGGUUGAUCCAAGUUCGAUCUUCGUGGGAGGCUGCGCAGCGCGUAAAGAUAAACAUCCAUACGCAAGAAUAACAUCUUCCAGAUCCCUCUAAUCACAACACUCGGAGGAUAACCCCGUACAUAAGCGAGGAACACGGGUAGGAAAACACUUUUGAUAGAGCCAUCGGAAAAAAUGAGAGAGCGGCCUGACAAUUCAUCAAGGGAGAUCAUUAUUCGUGGUAGCGAAGAAAACUAGACUCGCACAACCGGUGAACAAUUCGUAACUUUCGGAAAAUGAAGUAAACGCAACACGCUGGGAAAUAUAAAAAAAAAAGAGAGGAGAAGGAGCGAAGCAACCUUGAUCGGCUCUCACGUGCAGCAAAAUUUACAUGGACGUGGAGAUGGAGGGUCCCGGAGGUUCAAUUACGAGAUUGCCAAUAUGCAAGCGACAUGGCGGUGGCGGCCAUCGCUUCGGCUGAUGAGGCUAAUGGAUGGUUGAAACCUGAGAAGAACGGCAAAGAGGAAAAAGAGGCCAAGGGAGAGGCCCCUGACAGCCACUAAGUGCGCUCCGUCCUUCUCCACCCUUCCCCAAUCCCCCCUCCCUCUUCCAUUCCCGUCCCUUCGGUCCCAGCCCUGUUCUCUCUCGCCUCUGCAACACUCUGCCCGCUGCGGAUGCCCUUAUGUGAAACCUAAUCACUUUUAGCGCGUCACGGAUAUUUCGUAUUAUGUCUACAUUGCGUUCUCCGGUAUCGGCCGACUUUAUCAGCCGUCUCUCUACGGUUCGACCUUUCCCUCAUCGCCCCUCGUACCCAUCCUUCACGAAGUCGAGUCGCGCGUGCAGCAAGCCCUAAUCGGCUGAUGCGUUUCUCAAGGAUAGAUCGUGGAGUUUUUGAGAGAAGCGUCGAAAAAUGCUUAUAAACUCUUCAUUGUGUAAAUGUAAAAAUUUUUUUAAAUAAAAAAUAUAAAAUAUAAAACUCAUUAAAUAUUUCUGAAAUGCUUUUGUCUCUAGACUGUUAAAAACAAAGUAUUUAAUGAUACUUAUCUUUACCUAAUCUAUUCGUCUUUAGCUGCCUUUUUGAUUAAAAAUUUUUUUCAAACAAUUGUAUACAUCCAAAUGCUGUAUUUUUAUAUUUAGUUUUACUUAUCGCAAUGCUGUUAGUAAUGACAUUGUAAUAAAAGAUUACGCUUUAUAAUGCGUGAUUACAACUUAGAUAAUGCAGUUAUGACAGAGAAGUAUAAUUUGUAUUGGAUAAUGCAACAUCUUUCUUUCUAUGUUGUUAAAUCGAUACGUAUGUACGAAUGCUUGUAAUAAUGGCACAUUUGCGUGUUUGUACUAAUGUAUGCAAUACUUUAUUAAUACGUAUCGCAAUUUCGCAUCAUUAAAAUAAUAUGUGCGCAAAAGGAAAUUAAUUUUUCUAGGAAAUUUAUAAUGUGAUCUCAACUAUUAAUGAUUUGUUCUAUUGCCAAAAUUAGAUUAUCUAUGCAACAUAUCAUAAUGCAAAAAAAA
rnacentral:lncRNA from 13 species